rnacentral:rRNA from 1 species
UACAGAGGGUGCGAGCGUUAAUCGGAAUUACUGGGCGUAAAGCGCGCGUAGGCGGCUUUGCAAGCCGGAUGUGAAAUCCCCGGGCUUAACCUGGGAACUGCAUUCGGGACUGCAUUGCUAGAGUAUGGGAGAGGUGUGUGGAACUCCGAGUGUAGAGGUGAAAUUCGUAGAUAUUCGGAAGAACACCAGUGGCGAAGGCGACACACUGGCCCAAUACUGACGCUGAGGCUCGAAAGCGUGGGGAGCAAACAGG